CCUACGGGAGGCAGCAGUCGAGAAUCAUUCACAAUGGGGGAAACGCUGAUGGUGCGACGCCGCGUGGGGGAAUGAAGGUCUUCGGAUUGUAAACCCCUGUCAUGUGGGAGCAAAUUAAAAAGAUAGUACCACAAGAGGAAGAGACGGCUAACUCUGUGCCAGCAGCCGCGGUAAUACAGAGGUCUCAAGCGUUGUUCGGAAUCACUGGGCGUAAAGCGUGCGUAGGCUGUUUCGUAAGUCUGGUGUGAAAGGCGCGGGCUCAACCCGCGGACCGCACAUGAUACUGCGAGACUAGAGUAAUGGAGGGGGAAGCGGAAUUCUUGGUGUAGCAGUGAAAUGCGUAGAUAUCGAGAGGAACACUCGUGGCGAAGGCGGGUUCCUGGACAUUAACUGACGCUGAGGCACGAAGGCCAGGGGAGCGAAAGGGAUUAGAUACCCUUGUAGUC
rnacentral:rRNA from 1 species